rnacentral:lncRNA from 1 species
AACGCCAAAAAGAAAAGAAAAAAAUAUAUACAUAUAUAUAUAUAAAGAAAAUUUAAUAAAACAGGGGAAAACCAAGGAACACUUGAAUUACUCAGGUUUCGGACAUUCAGAGACACGAAUUGUGAGAACAGCAAAGGAAAUCGGAAAAGAGAGAGGCAUAUGUCUCCUAGGCUUUCCUGCAGCCCUGCCGGACCGACCGACCGACUGGGGUCUGGGGUCUGGGGUGUGUUUGGACCAGUUGCCAUGGGAGGCCAAUCCUGUUUACCUCAUACAUCUCUGCACUGUGUGUUUUCAUUUUUGUCUGUUUUUUUUUUUUUUUUUUUUUUUUUUUUUUUGCCUUUUUUUUUUUUCCCAUUCAUCACACACCACACCCAGCUCCUUGUGUUGAAUGAAACCCCUGAGCCACGAUCAGUAGAGUUUUUUUUCUCGUUGCUUUUUGGGAACUUUUUUUUUUUUUUUUUUUUUAAGAAACAGUGAUACUCAAACUCUAUAGGGUUUUUAAGAGGUUUCGGGGUUUUGUUUUGUAAAUAAUCUAUUUUAUUCUUGGGGGAGGAAUCAAACCUUAGGAAAAGGAUAUAUAUAUAUAUAUAUAUAUCUAUAUAUUUGUGUUCAUUCAGGGAAACUGGACUUGAAAAUGCAAAAAAAAAAAAAAAAAGAAAAGAAAAGUAAUACCCUUUUUAUUUUCCCAUAACUGAUUCGGGUUCCUUGUGCGUUUCCUGUAGCGCAGUGGGCAGCUGGCAGGCCCAGAGCCAGGAGAGGUGAUGAACUCAGGUGCUACGGGGGGUGGGGGGUGGGGGCGGGCAUGAAUUCAGACCGGUGACCGGCGAGGCGACCGUGACAUCCGUGGUCCUGUCUGUUCGCUGUGCUUUUCGUGCUGGCGCUGCAGAGGCCGGAAGUCUUAAGUGGAAAGCGCAGGGUGAAGGACCUCGGCGUGGGAGGGGGCUCCCUCCACCUGUCCAGUCCCCGGGCUCCUGUCUCAGGGAUCAAUGUGGCCUGGGGGCUCCCGAGUGAAAGGGCUACUCCGGGAGAUUAUCCAUACUGGGGACGGGGUGAGCCGGGCUUAGCUCAGGGCGAGGUUUUUGGGGCCACGGCAUCCUGAACCCCCCCCCCACCAAUUCUCUUCUCCUUAACUGUCGCCUUUUUCUCUCUUGGCCCCUUUUGCUUGGGGCCACACCUCCCUGCAGGAACUAAAGUAACUGAAUGGAGACCACACCAGGUCCCCACACGCCCCGUCCUCCUGGUUAGAAGGUGGGUGUCGGCAGGGGGGGCACCGCUGGAGGGAGGGGGCUAUUGCAGUGGCUGGUGAUGGGCCUCAGGAGGCGGCAGUGUCUGCCCCAGGCGGGUCUGGGGACUUUCUUGGCUGCCCUGCCGUCCCGUGUCCCCGUGGACCAGGUGGUGUUGGGUAGUGUUUUCACACGGUGCGGGAUUUUCGUUUGGGGAGGGGGUGGCUGGGCUGUUCCCGGGGCGAGGCUGUACUCUCUACUUGGGCUCAGGAGCCCAGCUUCAGGAGGCUGAGGGGCAGUGCCAGCCUGGCGGCCUCCCAGCUUCCCCCACCCAGGCAUCACCCUGUAGCCUUGGAGACCUGAGGGCAGGGGGAGGUCCUGAGCCCCCCAGGUCUGGGUUUUCUGUUAUGUGGGGCUUUGGUGUGUGUUUGGAAGGCAACCCCUUUCUUUGGGAUAUCUCAGGGUCGUUGACACCCCCACACCCCACCCUUUCAGGAGUGGGUGGCAGGAGUGGGGUUUCCUCUCUGCUUUUCCUUCUAGAAGGUUCUGCCCUUCCCGUCUGUCACUGCAGCAGCACAAUCAUUGUGGGAGGGGGAUCCCUUGUCCCCGGGCACAGUCGGGCUCCACGCGAGAACCUGGGAGCCCCUGCCCCUUCUCUCCUCCCUCCCCGAACUGCCCCGUGGGCGCCCUGGGCCCACGUGGGGGGGGGGGUCUGCAGCGCUUUCUUCCUACCUCAGGUCUGACUCUUGAUGCCAAAACCCGUGCCCGGGCCUGGCCCUCUGCGGCUGGCCCAGGGUCUCCGCAGGGACGUGCACCUGUCCCCUCGACUCCCCCCCACCCCCGCCCGUGGGGCCCCUCCCCCUGGAAAGCCUGUGCGCCCGCUUUGUUCGUGCGUGUGCCGUGUGUCCACGUGUGUCUUGUGGGUGGUGUGGCCUCCCGGAUGUAACGCAGGGUGUGGCCCGCUGUUCCAGUGGUGACUGUAGGGACAGGUGGGGGCGGGGCUUGGGCGGGGCUCGGGGCCGGGUCCCACCCUCCAGGCCACAGCCGGGGCGGCAGUGGGCCUGCGAGCCGGUGGGGCCCUCCCCUGCCUCUGCCUUAGGUGCCCGCGUUCAGCCCCCUGCCACUGCGGUCUCUGGGCUUAGGGAAGGGGAGGCUUUCUGGGGUGCGGAUGGGCACCCCCUUAUGCAAACCCGGGUGGGGAUGGGGGCGGCUGUGUCCUGGCUGGUGCACUGUUCGUUCCAGAGCGGGUGGACCCCAGACUCAGGGCGGAGAGGGGCUCCCUGCGGCUGUCUUGCUGGAGGUGUUGCUUCUAGAAUCUUCCGUGCGCCCACCCCCGAGCUGGGGGCUGGGCUCUCUGGGGGCGGGCAGGCGCGGUAGUCUCCAUUCCUCUGCAUUUGUAAACCCAUUUUCACUGUAUCACUUUUGCCCACUGUCUCCUUUUUUCCCCCUUAACUUUGCUUCUGCGUUUUUUCUUGGCAAACAUGAAUUCAGCCUUUCAUUCCUGACAGAAAUUUCAGUUUCUCUGGGGUUUGUCAGACGGCGUGGGUACCGCGCCAGGACUCAGGUUAAAGUGAAAAAAACUUCCAAAAAAAAAAAAAAAAAAAGGUUUAAAACGACUCUACCUCUGGCCGGGCCCGGCCUGUCGCGCCCUGGUAAGACUUCAGUGUUUGCAGAACAUUCAGGUAUUAAAAGGGAAAAAAAAAAAAAAAAAAAAAAAAGGAAAGAAAGAAAAAAAAGGUGUGUGAUUUUGAAAUUUAAAAGAACACUGAAAGUUUACAUUUUAUAACAUUAUUAUGCAGAUUGUAUUUAAACUUCAAAAAUAUUUAAGACAAUUGUAACCCUGUAAAGCUGAUGAGGUAUUAAAACAAGACAAAACACU